CAGGCUUAACACAUGCAAGUCGAGGGGCAGCAUUUUAGUUUGCUUGCAAACUGAAGAUGGCGACCGGCGCACGGGUGAGUAACACGUAUCCAACCUGCCGAUAACUCCGGAAUAGCCUUUCGAAAGAAAGAUUAAUACCGGAUAGCAUACGAAUAUCGCAUGAUAUUUUUAUUAAAGAAUUUCGGUUAUCGAUGGGGAUGCGUUCCAUUAGUUUGUUGGCGGGGUAACGGCCCACCAAGACUACGAUGGAUAGGGGUUCUGAGAGGAAGGUCCCCCACAUUGGAACUGAGACGCGGUCCAAACUCCUACGGGAGGCAGCAGUGAGGAAUAUUGGUCAAUGGGCGAGAGCCUGAACCAGCCAAGUAGCGUGAAGGAUGAAGGCUCUAUGGGUCGUAAACUUCUUUUAUAUGGGAAUAAAGUUUUCCACGUGUGGAAUUUUGUAUGUACCAUAUGAAUAAGGAUCGGCUAACUCCGUGCCAGCAGCCGCGGUAAUACGGAGGAUCCGAGCGUUAUCCGGAUUUAUUGGGUUUAAAGGGAGCGUAGGUGGAUUGUUAAGUCAGUUGUGAAAGUUUGCGGCUCAACCGUAAAAUUGCAGUUGAAACUGGCAGUCUUGAGUACAGUAGAGGUGGGCGGAAUUCGUGGUGUAGCGGUGAAAUGCUUAGAUAUCACGAAGAACUCCGAUUGCGAAGGCAGCUCACUAGACUGUCACUGACACUGAUGCUCGAAAGUGUGGGUAUCAAACAGGAUUAGAUACCCUGGUAGUCCACACAGUAAACGAUGAAUACUCGCUGUUUGCGAUAUACAGUAAGCGGCCAAGCGAAAGCAUUAAGUAUUCCACCUGGGGAGUACGCCGGCAACGGUGAAACUCAAAGGAAUUGACGGGGGCCCGCACAAGCGGAGGAACAUGUGGUUUAAUUCGAUGAUACGCGAGGAACCUUACCCGGGCUUAAAUUGCAACAGAAUAUAUUGGAAACAGUAUAGCCGUAAGGCUGUUGUGAAGGUGCUGCAUGGUUGUCGUCAGCUCGUGCCGUGAGGUGUCGGCUUAAGUGCCAUAACGAGCGCAACCCUUAUCUUUAGUUACUAACAGGUUAUGCUGAGGACUCUAGAGAGACUGCCGUCGUAAGAUGUGAGGAAGGUGGGGAUGACGUCAAAUCAGCACGGCCCUUACGUCCGGGGCUACACACGUGUUACAAUGGGGGGUACAGAAGGCGGCUACCUGGUGACAGGAUGCUAAUCCCAAAAACCUCUCUCAGUUCGGAUCGAAGUCUGCAACCCGACUUCGUGAAGCUGGAUUCGCUAGUAAUCGCGCAUCAGCCAUGGCGCGGUGAAUACGUUCCCGGGCCUUGUACACACCGCCCGUCAAGCCAUGAAAGCCGGGGGUACCUGAAGUACGUAACCGCAAGGAGCGUCCUAGGGUAAAACUGGUAAUUGGGGCUAAGU
rnacentral:rRNA from 1 species